GGUCUUUGGAAGGGAGGAUUCCUAGAGGUGAAUAAUUCCCAGCUGUAAUCUACCGACAUAUGCCUCCAUAUCAAAGACCUGCUCUAAAUACAGAGCCAGAUAUGUCAGAGAAAAGGAUGAGACAGCAGGUGUUGACUUCUCUUGCUUUCUGAACCGCUCUUGCUCCUGUGUUCAUCAGGUAGAAGCAAACCUCAUAGAUACAGAUGGAAAAAACACCUGUCAGCUUCUCUGCAAGCAUAUUCCAUUUUUUUUUUGCCCACUGCUAUCUGUUGAAAGGGAUUUUCUCCUUUUCUGGCUAUCCACCUGAUAAUCUCAGUCUCUUAUGUGGCACACUGGUUUGCAUAAUUACUGUUAAUGAAGGAGUCUCCUGUGCAAGGGCUUGCUUUAUGAAUGGUUCUGCCUAGAUAUUAUAAAACUUUCUGGAAAAGGAAUCUGGCUGAUGACCUGCCUCAAAGACAGAUGACAGGAAUAAGUGAUCCCGUCCAGAGGAUGCAAGAAGCAUUUAAGGGUAUAUGCUCCUGUUAUUUCCUGCCAAUCUAUUUUAAUAGCUUUCCGGGGCUACAAAUGAAGAAGACAUGUCUUUUGUCACCCAUGAUUGUAUGUAACUGUGCACUGGCAUCAGGCAGCAACAAGAAAAGAGAAAAAAUAACCUGCAGAAUUGAACAGAAAAUAUGUGGGAUACAUCACCAAGUCCCACUGGAGAAAAACACUAGCAAAACACCUGCUGCAGCAGAAGUCUUUGUUAACUCCCCAAUGUCUGUGGCUAAGAAGAAGCACACAGGUGGCUCUUGA
rnacentral:lncRNA from 1 species